rnacentral:rRNA from 1 species
GACGAACGCUGGCGGCGUGCUUAACACAUGCAAGUCGAACGGAAAGGCCCUGCUUUUGUGGGGUGCUCGAGUGGCGAACGGGUGUGUAACAAGUGAGUAACCUGCCCUUGACUUUGGGAUAACUUCAGGAAACUGGGGCUAAUACCGGAUAGGAGCUCCUGCUGAUUGGUGUGGGUUGGAAAGUUUCGGCGGUUGGGGAUGGACUCGCGGCUUAUCAGCUUGUUGGUGGGGUAGUGGCUUACCAAGGCUUUGACGGGUAGCCGGCCUGAAAGGGUGACCGGCCACAUUGGGCCUGAGAUACGGCCCAGACUCCUACGGGAGGCAGCAGUGGGGAAUAUUGCACAAUGGGCGGAAGCCUGAUGCAGCAACGCCGCGUGCGGGAUGACGGCCUUCGGGUUGUAACCCGCUUUCGCCUGUGACGAAGCGUGAGUGACGGUAAUGGGUAAAGAAGCACCGGCUAACUACGUG